rnacentral:lncRNA from 1 species
UUUUAUGAAAUCAAAAGUGCUUCUUUCAGCCAAACAACAUGGGGGGUUAAAAUUAUGAUAUUUUUGCCCACCACGCGCCUUAUCUCCUCUCUCCCCCGUAACUCUACAUCUCGAGGCGCCUCCGUCGUCUUCUGCUACCCUCUCUGACGCCUCUCGGUGUUGUGAGAGGGCCCCCGUAUUAGCUCACGUCUUGUCCAUCUCCCUCUCCGUUAUGGGUUCGGUCGGUGAUACAGAUCUCAUCUGGUCUUGAGGGCGAGCUCCGUCGCGUCUGUCGAAGGAAUCCUCGCCGUGCUGAGAGAGCUCAGGUUCUGGUGCCUCUAGCGACUGCAUUGUACCUUCGCAGCCUUUCUUCGCCGGAUUGAGUCCGCAUCUCCCGACCACUGCAAAACUCUGUCGGUUUUGGAUUUCAAAUGUCGCUGUUAAUAUUGUCUUAUCUGUCAAGGGUUCUUGGGUGCUACACCUUAUGCUCUAGGUCCCGGGACUUCAGAUUCUAAAAUGGAGAUGGCGUGUUUGUCUUCUAUUGAAUUAAGUUUAGGUGCUUGCUGUUGAGUUGUAGCUUUAAUUAGCUCAUCGUCCCACCUUCGCACAGAUUUGGCAUUGCUUGUUAGUCUGGGCUUUGAUUUGCAGGUUUCAAUUGAUACGGGCAGUGGAGGUUUCUUCGGUUUUUUGGUGUUACAGGUUCUUCACUUCAAUCCUAGAGGAGGUAGUAAGGCUCAUGAGUGGUGAUGCUGCUCCUUUCUCUUCGUUGGCUUAGAAGACGAGCUUGGUUGAGGAAGUUGAGCGCUAUUAAGCACUUGGGUUAGUGUUGUCCAGUCUAUUGUUGGAUCUUGGUUCAGACCUUGUCCCAGCCCGGAUCUGAGGGCAGUCCUUGAGCGGGCCUGUGUUUUCUCUUCAAAGAGAUGACAAUUGGUUAUUGCAGCUGGAUGAAUCAACUUCUUGUGAGUGUUGUGUGUUCUUGUUCCCUAGUCUUCGGGUUCUCCCCCAUCAAGUCUGUCUCGGCGCGACCUCUAGUUUGGAUUUUACAAGAUUGUAUCGUUGCUCUUAGUCCUGUUCGCUCCCACGCAGAACGGCUAAAGUAUCGAUUGCUUUUGAUUCUAUGUUUUUCACUUUUUUUUGCCGUAGAAUCAAGUCUAGAGGUUUUAUUUGUUAAUCACAUUUUGUAAAACCUCAUCUUUCAUUUCUGAAAUGAUAUUUACAAUUUAGCAACAAAAAAAAAAAUUAUGAUAUUUUCUAAAUCAACCAUAAUCUCCAG